CAUGUCGGCGUCGAAAGGUAGUAACAGCUGAAUAUUGUUGUUAGUCGUUACAUGCAACAGUUAACCAAAACACUUGAAGUUUAAAACAAACGUGUCGUAACAUUGAGACAGAAACGCUACCAACAUAAGGCGGCGGCCAUUUUGUGUCCUCUGACCGCAGGAAGUAAUUACUAUCGCCAUCUGCAGGUUAGAAGAAAAGGCGUUUAAAAGCAUGGACCCGUGAGAUGCCUGGCGUCAGCCCGGUGACUGAUGAUCCUGCUGAGGCAGCUUACCACCAGACCACAGCUCCAGCAGGCUUGGAACGAUAGGAACUGGUGCAUUGCUGCUGUGUUGGUUCUGACACUAAGAGAUACAACUGCUGAAGACAAUGUGCUAUUGAGAGCCUCAUAACUACACUUAUUAUGAAUGAUGUACUGAAAAUUCCCCUGGUUUGUCAUUAAAGCUCAAGUUCACAAUGGUGUCAUGAGAACACAGCUGAUUAAUUACUCUGUGUGAUCAUCAGUCUAAAAAUAUACAUGUUUCAGCCUGUUUUGUAAAAUGUAUUUUUUAUGGCUUUUUACACGUCAGAGCUAAAAUGAGGCAGCAGUUGAUGACUGUGUCUUAUCCUGGAUUUGAUCUUAUGCAUCCAGGCUGUGUAAAUUGAAAAUAUGCACAGAUUUCAAUUGUAACAGCUGUUUACACAUUGUUUAUAUUGUAUAUUUGCUGGAUCGAAAAUGAGACGGUAUAUAGCCAAAUAAUUCAUUUGC